GUGGUCCCACGAUGUGUCCCUGGCCAACCGGAUGGAGGCAGCCGGAGUACCCGGCCGUGUGCACAUCACGGAGGCGACGCUGAAGCACCUGGACAAGGCGUACGAGGUGGAAGACGGGCACGGGCAGCAGCGGGACCCCUACCUCAAGGAGAUGAACAUCCGAACCUACCUGGUCAUCGACCCCCGGGUCCCCUGGUGGCUCCAGGACCCCAUGGUGGGGGAAGUAGUUCCACUGCCCUGGCCAGGUGGGGCCCACUUGGCCUGUCUGCUGCCCGCCCCUGGCCUGCUUGAGGGAGUCCGGCACGUCUGGCCACUGCUCUGUGAAUCAUCCUUGAGGCUUGCUCAAGAAUGUCGGCCCAGCCAGCGAGUGGCUCCUUUCACUCUGGUCCUGGCUAUGCCUUGGGGCUGGCCCGACUGCCAGACCCUGGGGGACCAAGGGCUGGCCUGUGAGCCUCCCUACACAUCUGCUGGCCUCACUCUGCC
rnacentral:sRNA from 1 species